rnacentral:rRNA from 1 species
UACGUAGGGGGCAAGCGUUGUUCGGAAUUACUGGGCGUAAAGCGCGCGUAGGCGGUUUGAAAAGUCAGAUGUGAAAGCCCCGGGCUCAACUUGGGAACUGCAUUUGAUACUGUCAGACUAGAGUACAGAAGAGGUGACUGGAAUUCCCAGUGUAGCGGUGAAAUGCGUAGAUAUUGGGAGGAACACCGAUGGCGAAGGCAGGUCUCUGGGCUGACACUGACGCUCAUGCACGAAAGCGUGGGGAGCAAACAGG